rnacentral:rRNA from 1 species
UACGUAGGCAGCGAGCGUUGUUCGGAGUUACUGGGCGUAAAGGGUGUGUAGGCGGUUGUUUAAGGUUGGUGUUAAAUCUCCCGGCUCAACCGGGAGGGUGCGCCGAAUACUGAAUGACUUGGAGUGCGGGAGAGGAAAGUGGAAUUCCUGGUGUAGCGGUGAAAUGCGUAGAUAUCAGGAGGAACACCGGUGGUGUAGACGGCUUUCUGGACCGUAACUGACGCUGAGACACGAAAGCGUGGGUAGCAAACAGG